AUUGAACGCUGGCGGAAUGCUUUACACAUGCAAGUCGAGCGGCAGCGCGGCCUUCGGGCUGGCGGCGAGCGGCGAACGGGUGAGUAAUGCAUCGGAACAUGCCCAGUCGUGGGGGAUAACACUUCGAAAGAAGUGCUAAUACCGCAUACGUCCUGAGGGGGAAAGCGGGGGAUCGCAAGACCUCGCGCGAUUGGAGUGGCCGAUGUCAGAUUAGCUAGUUGGUGGGGUAAAGGCCUACCAAGGCGACGAUCUGUAGCUGGUCUGAGAGGAUGAUCAGCCACACUGGGACUUAGACACGGCCCAGACUCCUACGGGAGGCAGCAGUGGGGAAUUUUGGACAAUGGGGGCAACCCUGAUCCAGCCAUUCCGCGUGAGUGAAGAAGGCCUUCGGGUUGUAAAGCUCUUUCGGCAGGAACGAAACGGUGGGCUCUAACAUAGUCCGCUAAUGACGGUACCUGAAGAAGAAGCACCGGCUAACUACGUG
rnacentral:rRNA from 1 species